rnacentral:rRNA from 1 species
AUGGGUCGUGCCCUUCUUCCUCGGGGCCCAUCCUCAUCUUUAUCUAGUGCAGCGGUGAGGCGGAUGCAGAGGCGAAGGAGCGCCAACAACAAGGCAAAUACAAGUAGUCGAUCUCUUCUCCUCAUGGCACAUGUCAAACAGAGCGACACAAGGAGGACCGUGGCCAUCAAUUUCCUGGUCAUUGCUAUGAUGUUUGCUUCCACUUUGCCACCCUGCCAUGCACUCAAGAUGGAGUGCAUUGGGGAAGAGAAAGGAACCAGGGGCAGAUCCUCCCCCGGCGGCGGCGGCACCGCCGGAGAAGACGUCCCCAGCAGCCCAUCCGUCACCGCAUCGCCGUCUCCUUCCGCCUCCGCGAGGCAAGGCCUCUCCUCUCCCGCCCCCUCUGCCUCUGCGUCAAUUUGGCACGGUUGGAUGCUAGUUUGCCGCGAUUACCGCAUCAUGGAAAACCCCAGCAAACUGUCCGCCGUCUCCCUCGCCACACCCCCUGCUUUUUCCCGGCUCCAAGGUUGGGCUGACCUCCCAUAUGGUUUGCUCCAUUCCAUCGUUGCUCGGUUGGCCUCUGUCCGAGACAUUCUUGGCUUCGCGGCAAGAUGCCCAUCUUGGCGUGCUGCCUUCUCAUACCCAUCCAAAUCUACGUUCGGCAUAAAAUGCCCGCCUCUCCUCAUCCAACUCAAUGUUCGUGUAGAAGGUCCUCUUCUUCCUGCUACUAAUGGUUGCCGUGAUAUGUACACAUGUAAGGUUGUUGAUCCAGCCAACUCGAAUGCCGCCCUUCACUGCCAGAUUCCUCAAGAAACUAUGGAGAAGAUGACAUGUAUCGGCCCUCCCUAUGGUAAUCUCAGUAAUCUCAUCUACUACUGCGACGGGUACUGUCACAUAGUAGAUGUGUUCACUGGCGUGGAGGAGACCCCCCCCUCGCAUCACACAACUCACAUCUCCUUCUCAGCACCAAGUUCUACCUGUUUGAUUGGCCUAUUGGAAGCAACUCUUGGUCCCAAGUUCAACUUCCUUAUAUAUAUGUUGAAAACGGACCAGAUUGUGGAAUUCAAUGGCCAGUUCAUUCUCUCGGAUGGCAAUGGGCGGUUCCACUAUGUGCAGCUGGCCCCGCAGCUUGGUUUGCAGGACAAGCAGGACUGGAGUCCAGAACCUCAUGAUAUGACAGAGGUGCUGGUUUGUGGUGACAUGCUUAUCGUUCUCAUUCCCCUUGCUUAUGAGCUCUACCGCCUUGAUUUUUCUACCAAGCCCGCUUCAGUGAUGACCUUGGAGAAGCUGGACGACUGGGCACUUUUUAUCCGGGCUGAAGAAACGGGCACACCGCUUUCGUGCAUGAGUCCGGAACAAUGGGGAGGAAGGAGCAACAGCUGCUAG